CUCAAGCAAAGGGUUUACUGAAGGAUACACCAAAAAAGCCUAUGAAGAUACGCACAUCAACGCACAUUACCUGUUCAAUUACCUUUCUCUGAGAGUUACUUUCAAUUUACUUUCUUCUCUUUCUAUUCUCGCUUUCAUUCGCUUCCAACUCUGGCAAGCAAAUUUCAAGUUCACUUUCAUAUCUUUCUCUUAUCUCAUCCCAUGUAUAGCCUCUGAUGGUUACGAUGGAACCAAAUUCAAGGUGAAAGAUCUUUCAAAGUAGUUCAAGGUUUGAAAGCAGAAACUUCAUGGACACAAAUGGGUAAAAAUUUACCAAAGGAAACCUUGAAUCUCUUCAUUUUACCUUUCUUUGGCCUGAACACCUUGCAUUUACCUUGACUAUCAUCAUUUCAUUUCCAAAUCACAACGACCUUCUUACUUUCUUUCAUCAUCACCAUCAACAUCAUCAUUUCAUCUUCUUUCAUCUUCCUUUAUCUUUCAUUUCAAGAUCACUUUUUACGUUGUACUUUGUUAUUUAUAACAUUUUUACCUUCUAUGUUAUCAACUAUUCAAUAUCAAUUCAGACUCAAUCUAUUAAUUUAUCAACUAUACAUAUGGACUUUAAUUGUUUCCCAUUAACUUGGCUAUCUUGUUAACUGCCUUUAAAAAAUUCAUCAUCAUCCAAAAAUGUAAUUAAGGGUCCCUAAGAAAUACUCUGAAUGAACAUAAAGUGAUUUUUAGAGAAAUUUAUUAUUGAUGAUUUCACCCAAAUUUUUAGAAUCAGAGAUAUUCGAAGCUAGAUUUUUAGAUUAUUCAGCUUAACAUAAUGACCAGAACUUCUCAAUAGAACGAGCUUUUGUACAAUUUUGACAUUUAUCGACUUUUCUAAUGAAAUCGAGGCCAUUUUACGCAACCAGUAAAAUAAAGCAAAAAUGAAUUUCGAGUAAUGUAAUGUUUUUCCCAUAGGGUUUAAUAGGGAAAUAGGGAAAUCUCGUUUGAGCGCAUCGCGUUUGACCUUAUUUAUUGGGUUAGCUUCACGAAUAUAAAUUAACUUUUUAUUUAAAGUGUAUUUCAUUUUCCAACGCAAUACUCAAUAUCCCUGAAAAGCUGUUAUUUUUUAAUUUGAAUCCAUUCCGAGUGUUUCUUAGGAACUCUUUAACUCUUCUAAAUCAUUUUCAUGCCACUUUCAAUAGAAAGAUAAUUUUCCUUUUCUUUUAUUCUUUGGCUAUUUUUAUUUCAACUUUAUUAUUGCAUAUCAAACCAAUUAAUAUUAUUGCACUCGCCUACAGAAAUUAUUUGAAAUGUUUACAAUUUUCUGACCUCAAGACAAAGAACUUUGAUUAAAUAGAAAGUGUUUCAAUGGUCAAACACCCAGUAUUGUAUAACUUGUGUUACUAUAAAUUGGCUCAAUUCACUUUGAAAUUAUAAAGUAAUCUUUAUGGAGAAUGGGUUUACAUCAUUAUUUGCUGGCCAAUUUUGAACUUCUGACAAUUCAAUUACAAUGAGCAUGGUUGACUCUAUGGCUAUUAAAGUGUAUUGAACAAUCAUCUCAAUAACGAUUGAUAGCAAGCUUAUAAAAAGUAACAAGUAUUACCUCCUUUAUCUGACAGAUUGCUUUUAAAUAGGGAAUCAUCAUCACUACAAAAUUGUGAUUUAAUAAAUUCUGAGAAGUUUUUCUUUAUUGUACAAGUGUUUGAUUUACAUUAACUCAUAAUAUCUCAAGAUUUUAGACCUUGACUGUCUCUAGCAAUACACUGACCAGCAUAAUGGGUUAGUGAUAGAAGUACAAUUUAAUCAAAUGGAACCAAUUUUCUUGGGAAAAUUUCGAUGAAUUGACUUGUUGGUGUAACAUCUAUUUCAACAUUCACACCAAUCAAUUGAGAUAAUGAUGAUAAUGGCGAUGAAGAUGUGCUGCAGUAUAAUUGACCAUUGAGCCAAGAAAAAAGGACUAACGUGAAAAUGGUUUGCCAAAAAGAUGUAUAAAAAGGUCUGUCCAUCCAUCCAAAAAGUUCAUUCAAAAAACAAAAGUCAAUCGUUGAGUUGAGCUGAUUUGGCUAUUAUUGUGCUUGCUGUGAGUUUUGUUACCAUCUGGUAUCGCAAUUAAUCCAAAAUGAACUUGCUGUUACCUUUCACUUUUCUCUUGUGUCUUAUUGUGACCAUUGAAGGAGGCUUCUAUAAACAUAAAUACAUCGUCAAGAAACCUUUUUACAAAAAGCCUGUCCAUUUUGUCCACUUUCCUGUUAGACCCAAACCGGCCUUUUUUCAUGGAGGAAAGUUCAAACAUGGAGGAUUUGGAUUCAAAAAAGUCUGGUGGAAACAUGGUUAAUCUAUGGAUUAUACUCUUGGAAAAUUUUAUGCAUAAAUAAAAUUCAACUGAAAUAGUAAGGUUUGUUUGAAUUAUUCCCAAGAUCUUUUCAGUUUUACUUACCUCAGUCUUUUGGAACAAUACUUUCUAUGCUUUUUUGUAUAAGAUCAACUAUUUGUGCAACUUUCAUUAACCACUUUCUAAGAGUUGAUUGAAUAAAAUUUUUUUGAUUUGAAAA